UUUAACUAAAAAAAUGUAUCCUUUGACAUAUAAUUAUUGAGAUGAUAAUUUUCUAUCAAAUGGUGUUUUUUUUUUUUUUCAAUAGGGUGAUUGCUCAUAAAUUUCAGGAUGGAGGAUCAAUGUCAAUAAAUCCCAUCAAAAUAAAAAACGGAGUAUUAUUUAUGCUACAGUAUCAAUAUAGCACACAAAAUGUUAAUUUUAUUUAUACUAAGGCUUUAUA
rnacentral:lncRNA from 1 species